AUGAGGCCUAAGAAACCAGAAAGGAAGGCGAAGUGGAUGCAGAAGAGCGCCACAAGGCAGGCGGCUUCGAAGAGGGCAGUGCGCUGGGGGCCCAGUUGCGGAGGCUCAUCCUGGCCAGCUUUGCCGUCUGGCUUGCUGUCCUCCUGCUGUGCCCUGGGCUGCUGUGGCUGCUCUCCUACGCAUUCGCUCAGGCUGAGGGGUAGCUGGACGUGCUGGAGCCACCGCUCGAGUGCUGAGCUCUGGCGACAGCCAUGCUCCUGGCUCUCAAGGGCCUUUCUAACAAGCGCAGCGCCGAGACGGGAGGAAGGUCGGCCAGGUGUUUCAGUGCCCUCCACCUUUUGUCUGCCCUGCUCUGCUCUCCCUGGGGGCCCAGGAGGGGAUUGACCACCAGGCCUAAUUUUAUUAGAAUCUGCUUUGUAAUAAAAACCUCUU
rnacentral:lncRNA from 1 species